CCGAGUUCGGGGGUCUCCCCCAACUCCCACCCUUGUUUACCUCGACGUUGCUUCGGCGAGACGUUGGAAGCAGCCAUCGGAGAUUCCCAAUAGAUGAUCCGAUGCGUGCUCGCCGGACUCCAAAUACUCUAGACUAUGUACUGUCAGAUGAAAACAAGCAAAUGUAUAA
rnacentral:misc_RNA from 1 species